rnacentral:rRNA from 1 species
UACGGAGGGUGCGAGCGUUGUCCGGAAUCACUGGGCGUAAAGGGCGCGUAGGCGGCCUGAUAAGUAGGGGGUGAAAUCCUGCGGCUUAACCGCAGGGCUGCCUUCUAAACUGUCAGGCUAGAGCACAGUAGAGGCAGGUGGAAUUCCCGGUGUAGCGGUGGAAUGCGUAGAGAUCGGGAAGAACAUCAGUGGCGAAGGCGGCCUGCUGGGCUGUUGCUGACGCUGAGGCGCGAAAGCUAGGGGAGCGAACAGG